rnacentral:rRNA from 1 species
CAGUAGGGAAUCUUCCACAACGGACGAAAGUCUGAUGGAGCAACGCCGCGUGAGUGAAGAAGGGUUUCGGCUCGUAAGACUCUGUUGUUAAAGAAGAACAUAUCUGAGAGUAACUGUUCAGGUAUUGACGGUAUUUAACCAGAAAGCCACGGCUAACUACGUGCUAG